rnacentral:rRNA from 1 species
UAGAACCGAUAACCCCCGUUUAACCUCACCUUCUCUUGUUCUUCCAGCCUAUAUACCGCCGUCGUCAGCCCACCCUGUGAAGGCCCAGUAGUGAGCAAAACUGGCACAGCCCAAAACGUCAGGUCAAGGUGUAGCGCAUGAGAAGGGAAGAAAUGGGCUACAACGAAUUGUACGCUGAAAAUGCACACAGAAGGAGGAUUUAGAAGUAAGGGGCAAGCAGAGUGUCCCCCUGAAAGGUUCUGAAGCGUGCACACACCGCCCGUCACUCUCCCCAAGUUAAAACUAAACAUUAAAACCCAAAGGGGAGGCAAGUCGUAACAUGGUAAGUGUACCGGAAGGUGUACUUGGAAUAAC